UGCCAGCCGCCGCGGUAAUACGGAGGGGGCAAGCGUUGUUCGGAAUUACUGGGCGUAAAGGGCGUGUAGGCGGUUCGUUAAGUCUGAUGUGAAAGCCCGGGGCUCAACCCCGGAAGUGCAUUGGAAACUGGAAGUCUGGAGUUCAGGAGAGGUUAGCGGAAUACCGAGUGUAGAGGUGAAAUUCGUAGAUAUUCGGUGGAACACCAGUGGCGAAGGCGGCUAACUGGACUGAUACUGACGCUGAGGUGCGAAAGUGUGGGGAGCAAACAGGAUUAGAUA
rnacentral:rRNA from 1 species